rnacentral:rRNA from 1 species
UACGAAGGGGGCUAGCGUUGCUCGGAAUCACUGGGCGUAAAGCGCACGUAGGCGGCUUUUUAAGUCAGGGGUGAAAUCCUGGAGCUCAACUCCAGAACUGCCUUUGAUACUGAGAAGCUCGAGUCCGGGAGAGGUGAGUGGAACUGCGAGUGUAGAGGUGAAAUUCGUAGAUAUUCGCAAGAACACCAGUGGCGGAAGGCGGCUCACUGGCCCGGUACUGACGCUGAGGUGCGAAAGCGUGGGGAGCAAACAGGG